rnacentral:misc_RNA from 1 species
UUGUGGAGGAGGACGCCGAAGGUGGGGCUAAUGACUGGGGUGAAGUCGUAACAAGGUAGCCGUACCGGAAGGUGCGGCUGGAUCACCUCCUAACAGGGAGACAACAAAAUGUUUAAUAUUAUUAUUUUGUCACCUUAGGUCGAUCGGUAUCUCACGUUUUUAAUUUAUUAAGAAUUUCAUUUCCUAAGUUUUUCUAGGUCACACCCAUUAUUUUUCCUGGGCCAUUAGCUCAGGUGGUUAGAGCGCACCCCUGAUAAGGGUGAGGUCCCUGGUUCAAGUCCAGGAUGGCCCAUAUCUCUAUGUUGGGGGUAUAGCUCAGUUGGUAGAGCGCCUGCUUUGCAAGCAGGAUGUCAGCGGUUCGAGUCCGCUUACCUCCACUGAUCACCACCUCUUCCAUAAUCGGUAGAAAGGAAAUUUUUUGAGUUGUGAUCAAAUUCUGAAAGAAUCUAGCUUCCUAAUGAAAUCAUUAAGAUGCUGGACUCAUUGAAUUAAUUUCAUUGUUUUCAGAGAACCUUGACAACUGCAUAGAUUAUUUUUAAAGACAAUAAGCAUCUUUAAUGAUGCAGAUUUAUUAUUUGUGCAAAUGCAUUAAUAACAAUUCUAUUAAGCUGAUGCUUCAAUAUUUGAAGUUAUUGGUCAAGCUACAA